rnacentral:misc_RNA from 1 species
GACUGACCAAUGCUUCAAGAACCUGAAAUCUAUGUACACGAGGGCUUGUUCCCACCUCUGGGAAAUAGCAAACUACUCCAAACUGCUCCUUCAACUUUUGUAGAUAUACAUCAAGAUCACUGCUAAAACUAUCUCUAAUAGAACCAAAUUCCGAAGCAAAAAGUUGAUCUUCACCUGAGCCCUCACCAACCAAUGCUUGCAGCAACAGUUUCUUAUGCUGCUUGCGUUGAGGCAGAAUACCAAGCGCAUCUAGCAUGGUUUCGUCUAAC